AUGGAGGCCACGGUGAUGAGCGUUGGCAAGUCCGUGCUGAAUCUGCCAUCGCGGAGGAGGUGGCUCUGCAGCUUGGAGUCCGGCAUGACCAGGUCUUCAUCACCAACGAGCUCGAGAUGAUGCAGGCUUUUCUCAUGGCCGCGCAUGAUGAAGGGGACGAAAACAGCAAGGUGGUCCGGGUCUGGGUAAAGCAAGUCCGCGACCUAGCCUACGAUGUUGAGGACUCCCUCCAGGAUUUCGCAGUCCGCCUAGAGAAGCAGCCCUGGUGGCGUAUCCUUCUGAAGGAUCGGCGCCAGGUGGCGAAGCAAAUGAAGGGGCUCAGAGCUAAUGUUGAAGAUGUCAGCCAGAGGAAUAUGCGCUACCACCUUAUCAAGGGCUCCGCAGGCUCUAAUCCUUACAGCACCGAUGGGCAGUCUGCCAUCACCGGUGCCAUGACAAUGUCUAGCACAGAGGAUGCAAGGCGGCAGAGGGAGAAGGCAAAAGCACAUCUUGUUCAACUGAUAAGGAAGAUGGAUGACCGCCUUCGAGUGAUAGCGGUGUGGGGAACGAGUACUGAUGUUGGGGAAACGUCCGUCAUAAAAAGAGCCUUUGAAGAUCUGAAGAAACACAACAGGUUUGAUUGCCAUGCUUGGAUCAAGGUGAUGUGCCCUUUUAAUUCAGUAGAGUUCAUGCGAAGCAUUAUCAGGCAAUUCUAUAUAAACCUUUUGCAAGACCCAGUAGAAAAUAUGGAUGCCCAAGUACUGAGGGGGAUGGGAAUGAAGAAGGAGAAUGAUGUGGUUGACGAGUUCAAGUCUUAUUUGAAUGAAAAGAGUUACCUAAUUGUGAUUGAUGGCAUGUCUACCACUGAAGAGUGGGAUCAAAUUAAACCAUGCUUUCCCAAUAACAAGAGAGGAAGCCGGAUUAUAGUGUCAACAAAGCAAGUUGAAGUUGCAAGCUUAUGCGCAGGGCCACAGAACGUAGCGCCAGAGCACAAGCAGUUGUCCAUUGACCAGAAUACUCUUUAUGCUUUCUUUGAGAAGGGUUCUCAAGAUGGAGAUUCGACGGAGGCCGGGUCUAGCAGCACAAACUCAACCACUACUGCCAGUCACAUCUUGGUGAAUAACAAGAUGCUCACUCGCAUGGAGACAACGCUAGCAGCAUUUAAGGAAUUUCAGCUCAUCGGGCGAGAGAAAGAAAAAUCAGAGAUUAUCCAACUAAUCACAAAUGGAGAUGGCCGCCAAUUUGAGGUGAUCUCUGUGUGUGGAAUGGGUGGUCUUGGAAAAACCACAGUAGUGAGAGAUGUUUAUCAAAGCCAAGAGCUCAGAGGCAAGUUUGAGAAGUGUGCCUGUGUUACAAUUAUGCGUCCUUUCAAUUGUGAUGAGCUCCUAGAGAACUUAGCUGGGCAGUUUGGAUACGAGGAUGUGGCAGAUAUGAUCAGACAUUUAGAAGGAAAGAAAUGUUUGAUUGUUCUAGAUGAUCUAUCAUCCAUGAGAGAAUGGGAUGCAAUCAUCCCGCAUUUUACUGCAUUGGAAACAUCAAGCCGGAUCAUAGUCACCACAAGGGUAGAGGAUAUUGCUAAACAUUGUUCAAAGAAACGUAAAAAUAUAUACAAGCUCCAAGGUCUGGAACUCAAUGAUGCACAUGACCUCUUCAUACAAAAGGUUUUUGACAAGACUACGGAUUUGGAUGAGCAGUAUCCUGAGUUGGUUGAACAAACAAAUAUUAUUUUAAAGAAAUGCAAGGGACUUCCCCUUGCAAUAGUCACCAUAGGUGGUUUCCUGGCAAACCAGCCAAAAACAGCCUUGGAGUGGAAGAAACUGAAUGAGCAUAUUAGUGCUGCAGAGUUACAGAUGAAUCCAGAGCUUGAGGCCAUCAUAACAGUCCUUAAUAAAAGUUAUGAUGGUUUACCAUAUCAUCUCAAGUCUUGUUUCUUGUAUCUUUCCAUCUUUCCUGAGGACUAUAACAUUAAGCUCAAACGUUUGUUGCGGCGGUGGAUUGCUGAAGGUUACCCAGGUGUAGUGCGUAACAAGUCUACAGAGGAAGUAGCAGAGAGCUACUUCAUGGACCUCAUAAGCAGGAGCAUGCUUUUGCCAUCCCAAAGAUCAAUUUGUGAUGGAAAAAGGAUUGGCUCCUGCCAAGUCCAUGAUCUCAUCCGUGAAAUCGGCAUCUCAAAGUCGAUGGAAGGAAAUCUUGUUCUUAGAUUGGAGGAAGGUUGCAGCUUAAACACCCAGGGCACAGCACGCCACCUUGCUGUAAGCAGCAACUGGGAGAGAGAUCAGGGUGCAUUCGAGAGCAUAGUGGACAUGUCCCGUGUACGUUCAAUAACGGUCUUUGGAGAAUGGGAGCCAUUUUUCCUUUCUGACAAGAUGCGGCUUCUGCGAGUGCUGGACUUGGAAGACACGACAGGUCUAGUUAAUCAUCACCUUGAGCAUAUCGGGAAACUUCUUCACCUAAGAUACCUUUCGCUAAGAGGAUGUGAAUCUAUCUGUCACCUGCCAGAUACAUUAGGUAACCUGAGGCAACUGGAUACACUAGAUAUCAGAGGUACCUCCAUUGUAAUGCUACCACAAACAAUCAUCAAGCUUCAGAAGCUACAACAUCUCCAUGCUGGGUUUCCAACAAAAGGAAAUUAUUUAUGUACAAGGCAUCUGCUGCACACUUAUGGCUUCAACCAGCUUGAUGCAUGCACUUCUUUAUGCUGUGGUGCCGCAACUCCUUGUAUCAUGAUGGACAAAGAUUAUGGUGGUGUUGUGUUGCCAGGAGGGGCCAGGAAACUGAAAUCCCUGCACACUAUAAGGGGUGUGCACGUUGCAUAUGGAGAUGCCGUUAUACAGGAGAUUGGAAGACUCAGCGGGCUACGCAAGUUAGGAGUGAUGGGCAUCAAUGAGAAAAAUGAUGUAAAGUUUUGUUCAGCCAUUUCCAAUCUUAGCCGCCUAGAGUCAUUAUCAGUGCAGUCAGACAAGGGAUGCCUAGAUGACAUUACCUCGCCUCCGAAGAACCUCCGGAGCCUCAAACUGGAGGGCCGCCUGGGCGUAUUGCCAGAGUGGAUCAAGAAGCUUCAGAAUCUUGUGAAGUUAAAGCUGAGCUUCACAACAUCUAGCCAGGUUGAGCAGGACGCUGCUAUGGAAGUCCUGGGACAUCUGCCAAACCUAUCCAUUCUCCGAUUGUCGGGGUGUUUAUUCAAGGCUGGAGAGCUCCAUUUCCAAAAGGAUGCUUUCAGAAGCAUUGUGGUAUUUGAUGUCGAAGGCUUAGGGGGGAUCAAGUCGGUGAACUUUGACCAAGGAGCAAUGCCCGAACUCGAGCAGCUCAAGGUAACCGAUGCUUGUAAAAGAGGUGGAAUUGGGUUCUUUGGGCUGGAUAUCCUCCCGAGCAUCAAGGAAGUAUUGCUUAGCGUUCAUUUCAAGAUGGACCGUGCGGGUACAGAGUUAGAGAGGGAAGCACGGCUCAAGGAACAGUUCCGGACCCAGCUUGCUAGAAAUCCAAAGAAACCCAUUCUGAAGAUGGAAUGA